GGGAAGUUGGAGCUAGGAUGUCCCCAGGCAAGCUCCAUGUUUUGUUCGAUUGAGGUGGGAGCAGUCACAGGUGUCUCUCGGGGGGCUGUCAUCCAGGUGCGCCAGCAACUUUCCUGGCUAGGAGAACUCCCUUUGUCCCUCAAGAAAGCCCUGGCCUCUGGACUCAGGACAAGGGUCCACCUGCCUAAGACCCAGCGGAGCUUCUCAGGUUCCUGUCUCCUGUCUCCUCCCUCUUCCCCUCUCUCCUAUCUGCAGUUUCUGCUCGGGGAAAUACAAUAACCUAAUAUUUAAAUAAAAUUCUCUCAGAUGCCAAGGAGUAGGACAAGUGCCCAGGAAUUUAAACAGGAAUAAUACAAGACUCUGAUUUUCAGACACUUUCAGGCCAGUAGAAGGGAGUAAGCAGGUAUAGCCCACGCUCUGGGUCUUUGGCAGUAGGGGACUGCCAGGAACUGCUGCUAAGGCAGAGCCUCAUGGGUCCCUCGAGGGGAGAGUUAAAUUCACAGAAAGUCAGAGUUAGAAGAAGCUGUAAUAUCAUCUAGUUCACCCCCCUUGCUAUAUUCAUAGGGAAACCAAUACUUCAGCUGCUUUUGGCAAUGAUGGGGAUUAACAAGGACUGGUUGAGUCACUCCAAAGCAUACAUGCUGUUUAGAAGACAAGGUUUCCAAGUAGUGCAACCUAGUUGGGGAAAUGGAGUCCGCCAGCCUUCACAGGGUACCAUCUUAAGAACUGCCAGAGGAAUCAGCCUCAUAAGUCAUGAAAAUGCCUGCUCUACUGCUCAUAAACCCCAGUUUCCACAAUGUGAGUACCCACAGACCCAAACAAAUAUAAGAGGCUAAGAAGCUAACACCAGUACCACAGCUUCUCAGCAUGCCAGUCUGCUAUUUAAGACUGGUGCAAAGUCAAUUUCCUGCAGCAGACAAGAAAGGCCCACACAGGUCUUUGGCAUUUCUGGGCCCCCAGUUUGGAGGCCAGGAGCCCGGGAGUGGAGGAGCUGAGAUUGAGACUGACCUGCUUACUAGGUCUUACCAGGGAGCAUAAGGGCUGCUAUGACUCUAUAAAGGGUCGGUCGUGAGGCAGAAAGUCUUCACAAAGCCUCUGCUUGCUAGGAAACAAAACUUUCUACGUAGCUCCAGGCCUGAUCUCUGCAACCCACUGAAGGCAUGGCCUGACUAAAGGCUGGCAGGAUGGAGCUGUGUGAAUGAGCCCCUCCAAAGGCAGACAGAAGAACCAAUGGCAAGCUGGCUCCUCUUCUCACAUGGUGAAAUGUCCAACGGCUGGCACUGGAAGGCUCUCUCCCAGUCACAGAAAACACCGCCCACCUACCUGCCCCAGGGUCCAAUCAUCCUGCCUUCCCCUACUUUGGAACCCAGCCUCGGGUGUGGGAAUCUGCCAGGGAAAAACAGGCCUUGGCUGUAGUGUUUUUGGUGCUCUAUGGGUUCGUGUCAAAUGAUCCCUAAGGUGAGGAGCAGGUUAAAGUGAAAGAGGCCACCCCUGCCCCCAGCCUCCUGGUGGGACCUGCGGGGUUUGGGAUUGCUCUCAGCAGUAAGCAGUAGGCAACACAGCCAGGGUCAAUCACCAAAUCCGAAUCCCUUUAGUGUUCAACUGGCAGCAGAUGGUCCAGCCCGGUUCUUAGCACUGGUGCUGCAUACAGCAGGCCCCAGAUCAAGCCUGCUGUUGAUCUCUUUUGACUGCGGGGGUAACAGAGUGGGAGAAGGAGGAAGUAC
rnacentral:lncRNA from 1 species